CAUCCUUCAGUUGGGGACUCAUGCGAUACUGCCUGCGACGAGCAGGAGGAAGGUGGGGAUGACGUCAAGUCAUCAUGCCCCUUAUACGCUGGGCUACACACGUGCUACAAUGGGUAGUACAGAGAGCAGCAAACCCGCGAGGGGGAGCAAAUCUCAGAAAACUAUUCUUAGUUCGGAUUGUACUCUGCAACUCGAGUACAUGAAGUUGGAAUCGCUAGUAAUCGCAAAUCAGCAAUGUUGCGGUGAAUACGUUCUCGGGUCUUGUACACACCGCCCGUCACACCACGAGAGUUGGUUGCACCUGAAGUAGCAGGCCUAACCUUAGGGAAGGAUGCUCCGAGGGUGUGGUUAGCGAUUGGGGUGAAGUCGUAACAAGGUAUCCGUACGGGAACGUGCGGAUGGAUCACCUCCUUU
rnacentral:rRNA from 1 species